UGCUGAUUCUCCAAGGAGGGAGAUUGCUAGUAAAGCGGCUGGAAUGGCGAACCCGAGCACAAGGAGAUGAGAAAUGAGGACAAAUUGCAACCUGUACGGAAAAGGAGGUUAAAGGUGCUGAUUCUCCAAGGAGGGAGAUUGCUAGUAAAGCGGCUGGAAUGGCGAACCCGAGCACAAGGAGAUGAGAAAUGAGGACAAAUUGCCACCUGUACGGAACAGGAGGUUAAAGGUGCUGAUUGUCCAAGGAGGGAGAUUGCUAGUAAAGAGGCUGGAAGGGCGAACCCGAGC